AACCUUGUUGAUAUUAUCAGACUUGUUGCAAGGUUGUUCCAACAAGUCCGAUACAGUCAUGAUAUAACAAUACUGAUACAGUCAUGAUAUAACAAUACUGUUAGAACCUUGUGUCGUCAGCCUUGCAACAUUCUUGUCAUAUCAUGACUGUAUCAGACUUGUUAGACCAACCUUGUAACAAGUCUGAUAAUGCCAUCAAGCUU